ensembl:lncRNA
AUGGAGCUUAGAGCAAAUGGAUACUGGAUCAUCAGUGGCAGCAAGUUGGUUGCGAAAUUGAUUCACAUGUGUGUUCAGUGCAGGAAGCUGAGGCGUCCGGUAGAAGAGCAGCGCAUGGCUGAGCUUCCUAAAGAGCGGGUUGAAGCAUCUGCCCCAUUUACAUACUGUGGAAUGGACUGCUUUGGGCCAUUUGUCAUUAAAAGGUGUUGGAAGGAGUACAAAAGGUAUGGCUUGAUAUUUACCUGUUUCUAUUUCCGAGCUGUCCACAUUGAAAUGUUAGAAGAUCUAUCCACUGACUCCUUUAUCAAUGCUUUACGGUGUCUCAUCAGCCUAAGAGGAGUAGUGUGCCAACUGUACAGUGACCAAGGCAGGAAUUUCAUAGGAGCUAGGAAUGAAUUGAAAGAGGCACUUAAACAGUGUGACAACCAGGCUUUGGAAAUGUUUUUGGCUGAACAACAGUGUGAGUUUGUCUUCAAUGCCCCGUCAGCAAGCCAUGCUGGUGGAGUUUGGGAGCGCCAAAUACGCACUGUUCGAAGUGUGUUGGAUGCUACUUUGACCCAAAGUUUGGGUAGGCUUGAUGAUUCUUCCCUUAGGACACUCUUUUACGAGGCCAUGGCCAUUGUUAAUAGCCGCCCACUGACAGUAGAUGGAAUAAAUGAUCCCAACUCUCUUGAACCGUUGACGCCUAAUCAUCUAAUUCUAAUGAAGUCAAAAAUUGCUCUUCCCCCACCAGGGAAAUUUAUGAGAGAGGAUGUAUACUGUAAAAGGCGAUGGCGCCGAGUUCAAUAUUUGAUCGAGCAGUUCUGGAGUAGAUGGAAGAGAGAAUACCUUCAGAACAUUUCCACACGACAGAAGUGGCAUGUGGCCCGGCGCAAUCUCAAAGUGAAUGAUGUGGUCAUUGUAAAGGAAGACAUCCUCUCAAGAAACCAGUGGCAGUUGGGGCGAGUAGUGGAAACCUUCAUGGAUAGUGAUGGCUUAGUGCGGAGAGUCAAAAUACGAGUUGGAGAACAGAAAUCAGAAAAGCAUCAGUCUCCAUCUAAACCUUCUGUUAUAGAGAGGCCCAUUCAAAAGUUGGUGUUGCUUCUUGAAAGUGAAUAG